CUUGUUUGAGACAGACAGGUAUUGGAGUGAGAGAGUCAGAGAGAAAUAUUAAGGAGAAAGUCUCUAAAACAUGACCGCUGCUCUGGAAAGACAUAUUGGGUUUGUAAAGCCCUUCAGUGCAAACCCUUUUCUCAACUAUCAGUGGAUGCACAACGGACAGUGCCUUUCACAUGCCCAUGAAGCUGCUGAAGGAUGUGGAGACACCUGCAGAAGCCAAAGGGGUCACCACCACUUUGGGAAGCAGGAACAAAGAGAGCAGCAGAAAACAGCAGUCUGGUGCAUUGGAGAGGUGGCUGACUCUGCUCAGACACAGACACACAGCUCUCUGUGAAGUAAUCAUCUUUUGCGGCCUGAUUAGGACUUACUCACUGAUGUAAUGGCUCCACAGAAACCAGCUUCCAACAGGGGUAAUAAAGUCCAAAGGACAGCAGCAGUAGAAGGUACUGGUUACAAAGACAUACAAUUACAUAAAUAAUUCAAAAGGUGUCCUUUCCCAUGCAUCCUGUGCUUUCCAGUGCCUUUUAUGCAUCACAUACAUUUUGCUCCUGCUCCUUUUUUUAAGAGAUCACUAUUAACUGACUCUUCCACACAUCCAUUUCAGCCUGAAUUUUACAAAAAUUCAGCAAUAUUGGAAGGUGUGGCUGCCACAGGCAAGGAACACCUGAACGUGUCUGUUUGUUUACAUGCCUCCAGCCAUGAUAGGUAGUAGCAAGGUCUUUGACUCCACAGAGCUCUAGAGAACCACCUGGUCUUUCACACUAGAUACCGUUGAUGAGAAACUAAUUUCCUAGAGCACCUUUGCAUCUACUCUCAGUUACCUGUUUGAUAAUGGGUCUACUGGGAUGUCUAAGGGAGUCACCCUGGCUUUCAAACCCUGUUGGUCCCAUCCUUCUGAGAACUAUCUCCAAGUUCAUGGUGCAACCACCAGCAUAAAACCCCAAGCCAUGAGGUUUCCCUGUAGAGGUGACCACGCUUCCAGCUUCCCCUGCCCCUUUCCCUUGUUUUCCAUCACUGCAGAAAACUCGCUCCUUGAAAAACAAUUACCCAGGGAAUGUUAGUGAUGUAAACUUGUUUAAACCUGAGCACACAGUUAAGUCAGCUUUAUAAUUAAUUGCCUCAUCAUUUCAGUCAUCCUUCAGGAAUGUUGCACUGCUUGUUUGUCAUAAAGUGAAAAAGGGCCAGAUCCCCAGCAAAGAUCCCCCCCAAAGCAAAUGACACAAAGCACACAGAUCUGCAGCAGACCCAGUUCCACACUUGAGUGAAAACAAAGGAGGAGAAAUAUCAUCAGAUCCAGUUCCAGUCCCACCAUGUUCCCAGGGCUGCAGUGUCCCACUGGCUGCUUCCCAGGGAAAGGACCCACAUCCCCAAGGCACGGCCACAGCAAACAAAACCAGGGUGCUGCAUUGUGGUGUGAAUACCCUCCACCAGUGAUGCAAAGCCCCCCAGGGCUCCCACUCCUCCCUGCCACAGGAAGGACACACAGUAAUAAACCCACUAGCAGUGCAUGGAAGCUAGUGGGAAGAGCGUGGAACUGAAAAACAUGUUACAGGUGGCUUGUCUGGAGACAAGGAAGAAGGACAGGGAGGGACAGUAGCAGUACCCAACAACACCUACUGCCUCACCUACCUGUGGUGAGAAGUGAUGAGGGUGAAGCCAGCUGAAGCUAUAAAACUCCAAUUAUAAUUAUCUUCCUUCCACUCACAUCUAAAUGCACCACAGGUGUGUGUGUGCAUUCAGAAGGUGGUUUUACCCACACACUCUCUUACUGAAGCUAGUCUCACCUACACAGAAAAGGGGGAACCAGCUUUUCUAAAAGUGACAAGAAAGCGAAGGGAGAAGAAUAAAAACAGUAAAGUGAAGUGAGAAAACUAAGGAGAGAGCAAGCUAAGCUUACAAGAGGAGUGCGUAGUGUGGUGAGGAGAGUACCAAAGCAAGAAGCAUUUAGUGUCUGGAUCUGUUCACGGGCAGUCUGUCCUUUUUACCUCUUAGAAGACUGAUGGCCAUUAUUAAAGAAGAAAGGGCUGAAUGGGAGAUAGUUAUUUCAAAGAAGAGCUGCUGUUAAUAUUUAUGGCUACUUUAGAAUUGCUAUUUACACACCAAUUAAAUAACUAAGUGGAAGAAAACACGAGGGUCUCAAUUAAAUAUGAACUGAGUGAUGUGGCCAGCACAAACCUCAACACACCUCCUAAAACAGCCUUCAUCCCCACAUCUGCCAGUGACCAAUGUGGCCUCCAGGUUACAGGUCUGUGGUGAAGAGAAGAUGCCUUUGGAUGGAUUUCUGGACAGGAUUUCCAUCACUGGGGGAAACAACUGUGUUCUGGCCGCCUCUCUUGCAUAGCUUCCAGCCCAUGAAGAGACGUCACUUCCCAGUCCUGCUCCUAUAGCAGCACACAGCUCUUCCGUGAGGAUCUGGGGGAAUUCUAGCACAAGGAUACAGGAAAGGCAAUCAAUGCCUAUGAUAAGAUGCACUCCAGCUAACUGCUGUAAUUUUUCCUCACUGGGUUGCAGAUGACCUAAUAGGCUCUUUUCUCAUCUCUAAUUUCUAUGAAUCUGCAAUCCUAUUAUUUAUAGUAUAUCUUGAGGAGUAAAUGAUGUAAUUAUACCCUUCACCGUAGCACUUCAGGAUCUAGUGUAAUAGAACUAAAUAUGCAAUUAUGUGGUUAGUAAAUGUAACAGUACAAAAUUCAAAAUCUAUAUCCACGUACUGUAGCUUCAUAAGAAGAAUUAGUUUCCUGUUAUGUACACAGCAGAUGUAAUGUAAUUAUUGCUAACUGCAAAGUAUCACCAGACAUUCAUAUGACACAAAUGAAAAAUGCCACUCCAGCCAAUUCUUCAUUCAAACAUAUGAAAAUGGGAGGAUUCUCACAAUUCUGUCUUAUCAGUGAAGUGUAGGCACAUACAUUUGAUCCUCUACAUAUCAAGUCAAUCCUUCCCAGGCUUACAUACACACAGAACUCACAAAUAAUAUAUAUGCAAGCACAAAGUGAUGGAUUGGAUUCACCUCUGGUGUUAUUCCAGCAACUUCAGCUGAAUUACAGGAUGGUGGAAGAUAAUCCGUUGUGCAACCUGUGUUGAUUACAGUUGAGAGAAAUAAAACCGGG
ensembl:lncRNA